rnacentral:rRNA from 1 species
CCUACGGGAGGCAGCAGUGGGGAAUAUUGCACAAUGGGGGAAACCCUGAUGCAGCGACGCCGCGUGAGUGAAGAAGUAAUUCGUUAUGUAAAGCUCUAUCAGCAGGGAAGAAAAUGACGGUACCUGAGUAAGAAGCCCCGGCUAACUACGUGCCAGCAGCCGCGGUAAUACGUAGGGGGCAAGCGUUAUCCGGAUUUACUGGGUGUACAGGGAGCGUAGACGGCAGUGCAAGUCUGGAGUGAAAGGCGGGGGCUCAACCCCCGGACUGCUCUGGAAACUGUACGGCUGGAGUCCAGGAGAGGUAAGGGGAGUGCCUAGGGUAUCGGUGAAAUGCGUAGAUAUUAGGAGGAACACCAGUGGCGAAGGUGGCUGACUGGACGGUAACUGACGUUGAGGCUCGAAAGCGUGGGGAGCAAACAGGAUUAGAGACCCUUGUAGUC